CCUGCUGCCCCAGCAUGCAACAGCAUACAGGACAGCACCGGCCACCACAGACUCAUAGAACAUCUUCAGCAUCGUCCGGCAGAUGUUGAAGGACCUCAGCCUCCUCAGAAAAUACUUAAUAAUUAAGGCAUCCUUAUAUAAAACGUUUGUUUACAUCAUACAUCAUAUAUUGUUAUCAGACCUUUGGAUCUUUCAGACAUCAACAUCAGUAUUUAAUCAUGACGCUAAAAGUGUGUUAGUAUUAUGUGAAGUGUCUCUGUGUGUGGAGAGUUAUUUAUCAUUAUGUUGACAGAAAACAUUAAAGAGGAACUGAAAACCUCCAGUGGUUUAACUUCUCUUACUGGCUGCAGUGAUGUACAGGUGUACUUCAGGACACUGUGACAUCACUGUCAGGUGUGGUUACAGGUGCAACUGGGCACACACCUGAACUCACCUAUCAGAGAUGCUGAAUGAGGUCAUUGGUGAAACAGGCUUAAAGUCACUCUUUAAAAAGUUUAAUGACUGAAAGCUAAAUGCUAAGCUAACAAUUUUCAGUGCCCAUUUUUGAGUUAAAAUUUUGCAUUUUUUUAAAUGUAUUGUAUUUUAUGUUUAUUUGUUCUGGCGUCAAAUAAGACUCAUUUCAUCUAAUGAUAACUUGAAUGUUUCCAGGUCUCAGGAGGACCUGAACCGUGAGUCAGUAUCGGUUCAGAGUCACUGAGGUGUAAAUAUGAAGCGAUCCAGCAGUCGGAGAUCAUGUGAUUAAAAGUUCUGUUUAACAAAUCAUUUCUGCUGAUGUCAGUCAUCGGUUUUCAUUCAGCUCCUUCCUGUUUGAAUAAAACAGACUGUUUUGUUCAGUUCGGUCUGAGUCCUGGACCUGUACCUGGUCCCUCCAGCUCCACCCGCUGAUAAGAUAAACCAUAAACCUUUGAGCAGGGCAGCAGGCUGAUAAACGUCACUGUCUUUAUGGUUUUGUUUUGAGCAGCUGAAGCUCAAAACCACAAAGUGAAGAAUCAGUCAGAUCUGGAUCAGAGGUAUUAGGAGGCUUUCAGGAGGUUCAACAGGUUUCUGGAGGUCUGGCAGGUUUCAGGAGGUCCGGCAGGUCCAUCAGUGUGGAGGUCUGGAGUUCUGACCUGGUGGACGAAGGCUUAACAGAACGAGGAUGAGGAGGGGGACCAGGGCCGGUCUGACAGGUCUGAAGAAUCCUGGACUGGAGCUGGAGAUGUCAGGAAGCACAAACACCAUCCAGGUCUCGGGGUGUCCUCAGGCCAUUGGGUGUCCUCAGGUCUCGGGGUGUCCUCAGGCCAUUGGGUGUCCUCAGGUCUCGGGGUGUCCUCAGGGGUCCAGGUCCACGCUGUCAGCAGCAGUGAAGACUGAAACUCAGUGGGCGUCGUACUCCUGCGGUCGCAGGAAGCAGAGAAGAGGAAAACUGACAGGUGUUCAGCUGGAGAUGAAGUACAGAGGUCUGGCUGAGGAUGAUGAAGGCAAUGAAAAGCAGAGAGACGAAACCGACACAGCAAAUAAAAACCAACAGUUGAAUAAGAAACUGCUGAAGCACUUCAGACAGCUGGCUGCUACCAACCAGGACACCGACCAGGUGGACCUUCAGUUUCUGGAUCAAGUGAUCGCAGAUGGAGCUGAUCCAAACAGCUCAGACAGAUACGGACAGACCAUCCUGCACGAGAUCUCCAGGGCGUGGAGUGUGGAUGUGAUGCGGUUCUUCUUGGACCGAGGCUCAGAUCUCCUCCGGCCGGAUCAGUUUGGAGUCACGGCGCUUCAUGUGGCCUCAGCACUGGACUACCAGGACAUGGUUCAGUUCCUGCUGGACCGAAAAGCUGAUCCGGAAGCUCGGACUCUUCUGGACCAGCAGACUCCUCUUCACUAUGCUGCUAAGAACGAAGCUGUAGGUUCCAUCAGACUUCUGCUGCAGGCCGGAGCCUCCAUCAGCUGCACCGACUACAAACACAGAACUCCACUGCAGCUUGCUGCCAACCUGGAGCGUAGUGAAGCAGCUCGGGUGCUGUUGGAGCUCGGGGCGGAGGCAGGGAUGAAGGACUCUGAUGGACAGCUCUGUAUAACUGCUCUGAUUGGUCGGAUGAGUCCAGUGGCCUGGCUGGCGCUCAGUCAGUUCCAUGUGACCGACAGAAUGACCAGACAGCAGUACUACUACCUGAACCUGCUGGAACCAGAACCACAUUCAUCUGAGACCCACCUGCAAGAAGCAGUCGUCAGUGAGCCGACGUCUCCACUGGAGGUGGUGGUGCAACAGGGGAAACUGGACCUCAUCAUGAAUCCAGUCUUUCUCAAACUGAUCCAGGUCAAAUGGAAACUGUACGGCAGGUUGGGGGCGUGGCUUCUCCUCAUCCUCAACUUCCUGUUCAACGUUUCCUGGACAACUGUCGCCAUCUCUGUGUCCGUCCACCGAGAUUCACCUGAUCGCUACGUCCUCCCCCAGGUGACCUGUCUGUCUGUCUGUCUGUCUGUCUCUCUACCUGUCUGUGUGUCUAUCUCUUUACCUGUCUGUCUGUCUCAGGAUUGGUGGCGUGUCCUCCUUGUGGUCCUGGCGCUCCUGUUGACUCUGGAGGAGGUGCUGAGGGAGGUGCAGGACAUCCUGCGUUCGAGGAGGAAGCUCUACCUCUGGCAGCGGUGGGCGGAACGUCGUCUCCAUGACGACCUGGUCUGCUCACAUCCCAUGUGGCCUCAGGAGAGAGUUUUCCUUUCAGAUCAGAACAGACAGAUUCACAGGAUGAGAGGAAGCUACAGCCAAGACCUGUGGAACGUGUUUGAUUGGCUGGUGUACUCUCUGCUGGCGGUGUCGUUCAGCGUCCACAUGGCUGACGUGUUUCGUCCUUCCGUCCGUCUUCACACCGUCAGUCUACGUCUGUUCUCCGUCACCGUCAUCUUCCUGUGGCUGCGACUGAUGAAGCACGUCAGAGCCUUCAGGGUGCACGAUAACUCGCAGGCUAACGCUGUGAUGCAGCAGGCCGCCGUCAUCCUGCAGGUGGAGGAGUCCAUGCCUCUGCUCCGCCGUUUCUAUGACAACCAGUACAUCGCCAACCACUGCGCGCCACUGGCCGACGCCUACGAAGAUGACAUCACAACAAACCCCCGUUACCAUGGCGAGAUGGGCCGCAUCACUGCGGAGAUCAAAGAGACCCUGGAUCAGUUCCUGGUCCUGCAGAGAGACGUGGGGACAGUCGGAGCUUCUGGGUGAGAAUCACAGAAACGUUUAGUUUCGUGAAGCAUCUGGAAAACAUGGAGUCUCUUUGUGGACGCGAGGCGUUUCUCAAAAGAACGGACUCGCAAGGUCACGAGCACGCAGGACGCUGUUGCAGUCUGAGACGAUGCGGUCUUGCUGGCAUUGCGGAAUAAGUUCUGUAACCACAGCCGUACACUAACAUUAUCUAUUAUCUAUCUAUAGUAAUAAAGCAGCGACGCCACGAGUCAGCGGUGUCGUGAUUCAAGUUAAACGUUACAGAAUCACUGUGUAAGGACAGAAUAAACAAAUGUCUCUCAGCUGGGGGCCUAGCUUUCCUCUGCCGGACUGGGACCGGUCCGCGACCCGGACUGACCCGGACUGAGGUCCGUGAGUCCGUGAGCCAGAUGCCCCUGCAGGCGCUUGUGGAGCUUCUGAACUCCGGAAACGUUGAGCACAUUUUCAGUUCUGGGAUAUUUGUGCUGUCAAGUUCAUACAAGUUACCGACCGCUGAUCCGCGGUAAAAUGGGCGUCGAGAACGCUUUUUAAUUUGAACCGUUCUUGGCGAAAUGCGAACUUUUGUUUUUGACAGUACUUUGGCCGCAAAAGAUGACGUUUCACGAGAACAGACAAGAACGCAGACUGAGAAAAGCCCGUGAUCUAUAUCUAAUAUCUAAAACAUCUCCAUAUGAUACUGUCAGACAUGUGUCUUCUUGUUCAGACUCAGCCAGCAGUCAACGUCUCAGCUAACAGAGUCCAGACAGACCCGAGCCAGGACCACAACCUUCAGGACCAGGAGCUUCGGGACCAGAACCUGCAGAACCAGGAGAUUCAGAACCAGG